CUGCCAUUGUGAAAUUUGGACGUUUGUGAAAUUGUCCUCUAUGCAUUCCGAAACCAAUUCGAUAAUAAUGAAUCUUCAUUAAAGUUUCAGAAUUAAUCAGACUCUUAUCUUAAAAGACUAGUACUAUAUUGGAAGAUAAAAGUUAUUUAUCAUCUAAAAAGGCAGACAAGCUGACGGCCCACCUGAUGAUGAGUGGUUACCGUUGUCCAUGGAAUUCAGCAAUGCCAGGGACAGAGCCAAGCCGCUGCCUAAAGAGUGAUGCCGUCCACCAGCUGAGACUGCCGAAGAUAAUAGCGAAGACGCGUCUCACUACGGAAUCUAACAAAAGAAUGACCUAUCAGGAUAUACGGAUAAAUCUUCACAUAUGACGAAACCCGGACAUAUAUGUCAGGAUCCGGAAUCCCAAAGUCAUGCCAACGAAAACAAAGGGAUGAAAGAGUGCGGGGAGGAAGAUGAUACUUCAUUUUUCAUUUAUGUAUCAUUCUUUUGGAAAUAAAACUACAGAAGCCGUGAAUAUGUUAUGGUAAUUUGCAAAUAUGGGAUUUUAGGUGACAAAAUAAAAACAUACUUAAGCAUA